rnacentral:misc_RNA from 1 species
UCUCGGCAAGGAUAUCUUGGCUCUCGCAUCGAUGAAGAACGUAGCAAAAUGCGAUCCUGGUGUGAAUUGCAGAAUCCCGCGAACCAUCGAGUUUUUGAACGCAAGUUGCCCCGAGGCCUUCCGGCCGAGGGCACGUCUCCUGGGCGUCACGCCAAAAGACACUCCCAACCCACCCGAGGGGGAGGGACGUGGUGUUUGGUCCCCCGUGCCGCAGGGCGCGGUGGGCCGAAGUUGGGGCUGCCGGCGAAUCGUGUCGGGCACAGCACGUGGUGGGCGACACUCAGUUGUUCUCGGUGCAGCGCCCCGGCACGCGGCCGGCGCAUCGGCCCUAAGGACCCAAGGAGCACCGCAGCGCGUAGCCCCCCCCACCGCACCCCAGGUCACCUCUGGACUUGGAC